rnacentral:lncRNA from 1 species
UAUUAAUUAUUAUAACACCCUAUAAUUCAUUGUAACACCAAGGUUUAAAAACCGGUUAAUCAUUUAGGGGUAUUUUCGUAAUAAUAUAGCUCUAUAAAUGGCUAGGGUUUCUUUAAACUUAUAAAAGAGAGGCUUUUAUAAAAAGAAAAUAAUAAAUAACCCAAGAGGCUUUUAAAAAAUAAUAACGUAAUGGGCUGGGCUGGGCCUUCUUUAAUACAUCUACAACAUAAAAAAUACUCUAUAAUAAUAAUUUAUUUAACCACACAUUUUUAGUCCCACAUCGAUAGAAUUCAAAAAACACAAAGAAGGUUGGUCUAUAAAUAAAGAUUCAUUUUGUCUAAAACAAAUAUGAAGUCUAAAGAGUGGGAGGAGCUUAUAUUAAAAAUAAUAUAACUCUUUUCAUGGACCAAUGUAUAAAUUUUUAUACUAAAAAUUUAUAAGGUCUUAAAAUAAAUUUUUUUUGCCUUUUUUUUAAAAUAAAAACAAAACACUGUUUUAAGUUAUUUAAAUAACUUAAAACAGGCCUGGAUCCGGCUAAGGGAGAUGCGCCUGGCGCAUCUCCCUCUGGGGGCGCAUCAUCGCAUAUGCGCGCGCACCCGGAACCUUGGGAAUGCCACAAUGGCAACAGUGAUCAUAAAGCCACGAUCAUUAUUGUGUCUCCCAACUAGAAAAAGGAGAAAAACCUCUCAGGCUAUAUAACUCCUGGCUAGAGGAGUCUUUCUAUGAGAUAGUGAGAGAAGGGUCGGGAAAAAACACUAGAGACACGAGACUAUUUAGACUACAAUAUAGGCUAAAAGAAGCAAAAAUCAAAAUUAAGCAAUGGGCUGCAACUAAAGGCAACUCUGCAAAAUUAGUGCAGGAGACAAGAAAAAUUGGACACUGCCAUUACGGCCCUAGAAAGAGACCCAAACUCAGUCCAACUACAAACCAAAAGUGCGGAACUGAGGAAGGACCUAAAAAACCUACUCUUUAGAGAAGAAGUAGAUUUAAAACAAAGGAGCAAGGUCUCUUAGCUAAAGGAAGGGGAUAAAAAUACUAGGUUCCUCGACAUAGUUACAAAGCAAAGAAAGGUAAAAAAACCAUAGAUCAAAAAAGCGGAAAGCGCUCCCAAUUUCCAGGGAGCGCUUUUUUAGCUUUAACCGCUUUAGCGACGCUUAAAGCGAAAAAAGCGGUAGUGGCAUAAUUGUAAAUAUUUGCAAUUUUCAAAAAAAUUGCAUAUAUACCCCUGUUUAUAUAUAUAAUUUUUUUAAAACCUGUACAUGUAUGAUGUAUGAUUAAACAUAAAAUAUAUAUAAACCUGUCAAUAUUUGUCCAUCAUCUUAAAAAUACACAUCCAAAACAAUUACAUCCAAGUUAUUUGAAAAAAACUAUCAAAUCAUUUACCCUAAUCAUCUAGACAAGCACCUAAUUUUAUAUUAUCUAGGCGAGGUCUAGGGUUUGGGUAAGAAGUGUGAGUGAAAGUGAGGGUUAGGGUUUGUUAGAAGAGUAGAAAGGGAAAUGAAAGAAUUUAAGUUCUUCCAUUUCGGGUAAUGGGUUGGCCCAACCCAUUUACCCGAACCGACCCGUGAACCCGCUAAAAAAAAGCGAUCUGAAAAGCGGUCCUAGAAAACCGCUUUUAUAGCUUUAAGCGGCGCUUUAAGCGCCGCUUUUAAAACUAUGAAAAAAACUCCAUACUCAAACUCUCUUAUCCGGUGAACAAGUUGGCACAGUUCACGGAGAAGCCAAAAGAAGCUCAUUGGGUCAUGAUGAAGAUAGUUUUGACUUUUGAGGUAUUUGUCUGGCACUCAAGGUAUGGGAAUAGUACACAGAAGAUGCAACACAUGCAGACUGGGCCUCUGAUGAGACUGACAGGAAAAGCCAGACUGGAUACAUGGUUUAUAUGAGAGAUUCUUUGAUCAUUUAGUGUUCUCAAUAUCAAGCACUGAAUCUGAGUUCAGAGCUAUCACUGCUGCAGCUAUUGAGUUGGAUUGGGUAGCUAAUCUAUUGCAUGAGAUGGGUAUAAAGAUAGAUAAACCCUAUGCAGUCUGGUCAAAUAAUUUAGGAACUACUCAAUUUGGCUGCAAAUCCUAUGUUUCACACUAAAAUCAAGCAUGCUGCAAUAGAUUCCAACUUUGUGAGAGAGAGUGAAAAAGAAUAUUCUAGAGGUGACUCACAUUCCUAACACAUUCACUAUAAGCAGAAAGUUGAUAUCCUGACCAAAGCUUUAAGGCCAGCACCAUUUCUUCAGCUCAAAGCCAACCUCAUCGAUGAACGAUGAUUAUAGAUGAGUUUGAGCGAGGCUAUUAGUAAAUAUUGGGUGUUAUUGGUAUUUUAGUAUAUUAGUCUAAUAGUUAAUUGUAAUUAGAUUUAGUAUGUCUAGAAUAUUCUAAUUCGAUACGACUCAACAGAAGUUAAUUAUUCUGUUGAGAUCUAACCCCUCCUAAUUGUAUGUAUAUUUAUAAUGACGUUUUAGGAGGGAUCAAUUACUUGAUCUUCCCUACCUUCCCAAAUUCUAGAUCUACUGAUAACUAAUACUAUCUAAUGUAUUUUAUUUUUAACUAAAAAAAUUAAUUGAUUAUUUUAUUGUCAUGCACUCAUGCCUAUAUUUUAGGGAUUGAUAUCAUGGUUCCAGAUGCGCUCGCAUAUGUGCGUGUGCGCCUCCAGAGGGAGAUGCACCUGGCACAUCUCCCUUAGCCAGAUCCAGGUGGAUCCGGUCCUGAUUUUAAAAAAACUGGCCUAAAUUUUUUUAUUUAUUUUAAGACCUUAUAAAUUUGUAUAAACAUUUUUAUGCCAAAAAUUUAUACAUGGUUCAUGAAAAGAGCUAUAUUAUUUUUUAUAUAAACUCCUCCCACUCUUAAACUUCAUGUUUGUUUUAGACAAAAUGAAUCUUUAUUUAUAAACCAACCUUCAUUGUGCCUUUUAAAUUCUAUCGAUAUGAGACUAAAAAAGUAUAGUUAAAUAAAUUAUAGAGUAUUGUUUGUACUUUUUGAAUUCUAUCAAUGUGGGACUAAAUAAAAUGUACAUGUGCUCAAGGUUUCAGAUGCGCCUCUGCGUGAUGAGCCACCACCUGGAGCACUUGAGCAUAUGCGACAGUGGCAUUUUCGUAAAUAUAUAUAAAACUAAAGGAAAUUCAUAUAUUUUUUUAUAUAUCUAAAUUAUAUCAAUUAAAUUUUUUAGUUAAAAAUAUAUUGGAUAGAAAAAUUAUUAUAAUACAUAUAUUUAUUAAUUAUUAUAACACCUUAUAAUUCAUUGUAACACCAAGGUUUAAAAACCGGUUAACCAUUUAGGGGUAUUUUCGUAAUAAUAUAGCUCUUUAAAUGGCUAGGGUUUCUUUAAACUUAUAAAAGAGAGACUUUUAUAAAAAGAAAAUAAUAAAUAACCCAAGAGGCUUUUAAAAAAUAAUAACGUAAUGAGCUGGGCUUUCUUUAAUACAUCUAUAACAUCAAAAAUACUCUAUAAUAAUAAUAAUUUAUUUAACUACACUUUU